GUUAAGAAUCUUGCGCAAUGGGGGAAACCCUGACGCAGCCACGCCGCGUGAACGAUGAAGGCUCUAGGGUUGUAAAGUUCACUAAGAUAGGAAGAAUAAGCAAGGUCUAAUAGGCCUUGUGAUGACGGUACUAUCCUAUAGCCCCGGCUAAUUACGUGCCAGCAGCCGCGGUAAUACGUAUGGGGCAAGCGUUGUUCGGAUUUAUUGGGCGUAAAGGGCACGCAGGCGGAUUGCUAAGUUGGAUGUAUAAUCGUCAGGCUCAACCUGAUACCUGCAUCCAAAACUGGCAGUCUAGAGUUUUGGAGAGGAAAGCGGAAUUCUCGGUGUAGCGGUGGAAUGCGUAGAUAUCGAGAGGAACACCAAUGGCGAAGGCAGCUUUCUGGACAAAAACUGACGCUCAGGUGCGAAAGCGUGGGGAGCAAACAGG
rnacentral:rRNA from 1 species